CUAAUUUCUCCCCUAAGAGGACGUGUCCUCAGGCUGUUCCUCUGCGUGUGUGUGAAAAACACACUUAGCUGGCUGAGCAGAUCCCGGUGCUAGAUCGGACAGACCAACCUGAGGAGGCCCGUGGAGCCCCGGGGCCUGCAGGAGGGGUCCCGCGGCCAGGAGUGGAGGCCCCCCUCCCGAGGAAGAGGUCCAGGCUGGGGCACCCAGCCGCAGCAGCGUCCAGGCCUCGGGGGUACCCCCACUCCCCAUCCUGGAGGCCAAGGUCAGCUCAGGCUUGGCUAGGCUUCCUGGUCUCAUUUCUCACGGCCCUAGGCACCAGGCAAGCAGGUGGUUCCUCUUGCGUACCUCCGACUGCAUAGCUCAAAAGCAAGUGGCCACACGCCCUGGGAGACCAGAAGAAGAUUUCCUGGCCAUUCAGGUGAGACUCCCAGACCUGGCAGAGUUUGAGGAUGUUGGCGGGGGAGGCAGAACAGUAGGCUGGAGGGACCGUGGAGGCACCCUCUGCCCUCUGAC
rnacentral:lncRNA from 1 species